rnacentral:rRNA from 1 species
AUUGAACGCUGGCGGCAGGCCUAACACAUGCAAGUCGAACGGAAACAGGAGGCAGUUUGCUGCUUUGCUGACGAGGGGCGGACGGGGGAGUAAUGUCUGGAAACUUCCUUGAUGAAGGGGGAUAACUCCUGGAAACGGUGGCUAUAACGGCUUAACUUCGAAAGACCAAAGAGGGGGACUUUCGGGCCUCUUUCCAUCGGAUGUUCCCAGAUGGGAUUAGCUAGUAGGUGGGGUAACGGCUCACCUAGGCGACGAUCCCUAGCUGGUCUGAGAGGAUGACCAGCCACACUGGAACUGAGACACGGUCCAGACUCCUACGGGAGGCAGCAGUGGGGAAUAUUGCACAAUGGGCGCAAGCCUGAUGCAGCCAUGCCGCGUGUAUGAAGAAGGCCUUCGGGUUGUAAAGUACUUUCAGCGGGGAGGAAGGGAGUAAAGUUAAUACCUUUGCUCAUUGACGUUACCCGCAGAAGAAGCACCGGCUAACUCCGUG